rnacentral:sRNA from 1 species
CUGAGAGCCAUGAAGACUGAAGUCUUCUAUUAAUCCAUAGAACAGGAAUAGGUAAUAGCAGAGCAUUUUCCUCUCCAUGGUCCUGUCUAUGUUCCUCACUCCUGAUCAGGGUAAUAUUGUCUCUCACUGUUGAUGUCCCGUUGAAUCCUUAGCUUCU